AGGUAAGCUACUAAGAGCGAAUGGUGGAUGCCUUGACUGGUAAAGGCGAUGAAGGACGUACUAGACUGCGAUAAGCUACGGGGAGCUGUCAAGAAGCUUUGAUCCGUAGAUUUCCGAAUGGGGCAACCCAAUGUAUAGAGAUAUACAUUACCUAUAUAGGAGCGAACGAGGGGAAUUGAAACAUCUUAGUACCCUCAGGAAAAGAAAUCAAUAGAGAUUGCGUCAGUAGCGGCGAGCGAAAGCGCAAGAGGGCAAACCCAGUGCUUGCACUGGGGGUUGUAGGACUGCAAUGUGCAAGAGGUAAGUUUAGCAGAACAUUCUGGAAAGUAUAACCAUAGAGGGUGAUAGUCCCGUAUGCGAAAAACAAACCUUAGCUAGCAGUAUCCUGAGUAGGGCGGGACACGAGGAAUCCUGUCUGAAUCUGGGUCGACCACGAUCCAACCCUAAAUACUAAUACCAGAUCGAUAGUGCACAAGUACCGUGAGGGAAAGGUGAAAAGAACUGAGGUGAUCAGAGUGAAAUAGAACCUGAAACCAUUUGCUUACAAUCAUUCAGAGCCCUAUGUAGCAAUACAGGGUGAUGGACUGCCUUUUGCAUAAUGAGCCUGCGAGUUGUGGUGUCUGGCAAGGUUAAGCAAACGCGAAGCCGUAGCGAAAGCGAGUCUGAAUAGGGCGCUUAGUCAGAUGCUGCAGACCCGAAACGAAGUGAUCUAUCCAUGAGCAAGUUGAAGCUAGUGUAAGAACUAGUGGAGGACUGAACCCAUAGGCGUUGAAAAGCCCCGGGAUGACUUGUGGAUAGGGGUGAAAGGCCAAUCAAACUUCGUGAUAGCUGGUUCUCUCCGAAAUAUAUUUAGGUAUAGCGUUGUGUCGUAAUAUAAGGGGGUAGAGCACUGAAUGGGCUAGGGCAUACACCAAUGUACCAAACCCUAUCAAACUCCGAAUACCUUAUAUGUAAUCACAGCAGUCAGGCGGCGAGUGAUAAAAUCCGUCGUCAAGAGGGAAACAACCCAGACUACCAGCUAAGGUCCCUAAAUCUUACUUAAGUGGAAAACGAUGUGAAGUUACUUAAACAACCAGGAGGUUGGCUUAGAAGCAGCCAUCCUUUAAAGAAAGCGUAAUAGCUCACUGGUCUAGUGAUUUUGCGCGGAAAAUAUAACGGGGCUAAAGUAAGUACCGAAGCUGUAGACUUAGUUUACUAAGUGGUAGGAGAGCGUUCUAUUUGCGUCGAAGGUAUACCGGUAAGGAGUGCUGGAGCGAAUAGAAGUGAGCAUGCAGGCAUGAGUAGCGAUAAUUAAUGUGAGAAUCAUUAACGCCGUAAACCCAAGGUUUCCUACGCGAUGCUCGUCAUCGUAGGGUUAGUCGGGUCCUAAGUCGAGUCCGAAAGGGGUAGACGAUGGCAAAUUGGUUAAUAUUCCAAUACCAACAUUAGUGUGCGAUGGAAGGACGCUUAGGGCUAAGGGGGCUAGCGGAUGGAAGUGCUAGUCUAAGGUCGUAGGAGGUUAUACAGGCAAAUCCGUAUAACAAUACUCCGAGAACUGAAAGGCUUUUUGAAGUCUUCGGAUGGAUAGAAGAACCCCUGAUGCCGUCGAGCCAAGAAAAGUUUCUAAGUUUAGCUAAUGUUGCCCGUACCGUAAACCGACACAGGUGGGUGGGAUGAGUAUUCUAAGGCGCGUGGAAGAACUCUCUUUAAGGAACUCUGCAAAAUAGCACCGUAUCUUCGGUAUAAGGUGUGGUUAGCUUUGUAUUAGGAUUUACUCCGAAAGCAAGGAAACUUACAACAAAGAGUCCCUCCCGACUGUUUACCAAAAACACAGCACUCUGCUAACUCGUAAGAGGAUGUAUAGGGUGUGACGCCUGCCCGGUGCUCGAAGGUUAAUUGAUGGGGUUAGCAUUAGCGAAGCUCUUGAUCGAAGCCCGAGUAAACGGCGGCCGUAACUAUAACGGUCCUAAGGUAGCGAAAUUCCUUGUCGGUUAAAUACCGACCUGCAUGAAUGGCGUAACGAGAUGGGAGCUGUCUCAAAGAGGGAUCCAGUGAAAUUGUAGUGGAGG
rnacentral:rRNA from 1 species